AAUUGUGUAGCUUAGUGGUUUGAGUGUUGGACUAUGAGUCUGGAGGCCAGGGUUCAAAUCCCAGCUCAGCCA